rnacentral:rRNA from 2 species
UACGUAGGUGGCAAGCGUUAUCCGGAUUUACUGGGUGUAAAGGGCGUGUAGGCGGGAGUGCAAGUCAGAUGUGAAAAUUAUGGGCUCAACCCAUAACCUGCAUUUGAAACUGUACUUCUUGAGUACUGGAGAGGCAGGCGGAAUUCCGUGUGUAGCGGUGAAAUGCGUAGAUAUACGGAGGAACACCAGUGGCGAAGGCGGCCUGCUGGACAGCAACUGACGCUGAGGCGCGAAAGCGUGGGGAGCAAACAGG